CAGCCGCCGCGGUAAUACGAAGGGGGCUAGCGUUGCUCGGAAUGACUGGGCGUAAAGGGCGCGUAGGCGGAUUGUUUAGUUAGGCGUGAAAUUCCUGGGCUUAACCUGGGGACUGCGCUUAAUACAGGCAGUCUAGAGUGAGGAAGAGGGUUGUGGAAUUCCCAGUGUAGAGGUGAAAUUCGUAGAUAUUGGGAAGAACACCGGUGGCGAAGGCGGCGACCUGGUUCAUGAUUGACGCUGAGGCGCGAAAGCGUGGGGAGCAAACAGGAUUAGAUACCCCAGUAGUCCCUGUCUCUUAUAC
rnacentral:rRNA from 1 species